rnacentral:SRP_RNA from 10 species
GCCAGGCACAGUGGUUUGUGCUUGUAAUUCCUGCUACUCAGCAGGCUGUGGCAGGAGGAUCACUUGAGGGCUGUAAUGUGCUGUGUGAACUGGGUGUCUGCACUAAGUUCGGCAUCAGUAUGGUGACCUCCCAGAAAAGGAAGACUGCCAGGUUGCCUAAGGAGGUGUGAACCAGCUGAGGUUGGAAAUGGAGCACAUCAGAAACUCCCAUGCUGGUUAGUAGUGGGACUGGAGCUGUGAAUAGCUACUGCUCUCCACCCUGGGCAGCAUAGUGAGACCCCAUCU